rnacentral:rRNA from 1 species
GGCAGCAGCCGCGGUAACACCGGCGGCCCGAGUGGUGAUCGUGAUUAUUGGGUCUAAAGGGUCCGUAGCCGGUUUGGUCAGUCCUCCGGGAAAUCUGAUAGCUCAACUAUUAGGCUUUCGGGGGAUACUGCCAGACUUGGAACCGGGAGAGGUAAGAGGUACCACAGGGGUAGGAGUGAAAUCUUGUAAUCCCUGUGGGACCACCUGUGGCGAAGGCGUCUUACCAGAACGGGUUCGACGGUGAGGGACGAAAGCUGGGGGCACGAACCGGAUUAGAUACCCGGGUAGUCCCAGCCGUAAACGAUGCUCGCUAGGUGUCAGGCAUGGCGCGACCGUGUCUGGUGCCGCAGGGAAGCCGUGAAGCGAGCCACCUGGGAAGUACGGCCGCAAGGCUGAAACUUAAAGGAAUUGGCGGGGGAGCACAACAACGGGUGGAGCCCUGCGGUUUAAUUGGACUCAACGCCGGACAACUCACCGGGGGCGACAGCAAUAUGUAGGCCAAGCUGAAGACUUUGCCUGAAUCGCUGAGAAGUGGUGCAUGG